UACGAAGGGGGCUAGCGUUGUUCGGAAUCACUGGGCGUAAAGCGCACGUAGGCGGAUUGUUAAGUCAGGGGUGAAAGCCUGGAGCUCAACUCCAGAACUGCCUUUGAUACUGGCAAUCUCGAGUCCGGAAGAGGUAAGUGGAACUCCGAGUGUAGAGGUGAAAUUCGUAGAUAUUCGGAAGAACACCAGUGGCGAAGGCGGCUUACUGGUCCGGUACUGACGCUGAGGUGCGAAAGCGUGGGGAGCAAACAGG
rnacentral:rRNA from 1 species